GUCUUUUUGAGUAUAAUUUAAAGUCUGAUCUGCCCAUUGAUUAAUUAAAAGGCCGCAGUAUUUUGACUGUGCAAAGGUAGCAUAAUAAUUAGUUUUUUAAUUGAAAGCUAGCAUGAAUGAUUUGAUAAGAAAAAUGCUGUCUAUUUAUUAAAUAUUAUAAUUUUAUUUUUUAGUUAAAAAGCUAAAAUAUUGUUUAAAGACGAGAAGACCCUAUAGAGUUUUAUAUAUUUUUUUAAUAUUAUACUUUAUUUUGUUUUUAUUAAUAUACUAUAUUUUGUUGGGGUGAUAGAAAAGUUUGUUUAACCUUUUUACUAUAAUAACUAUUAUAAUUGAUUGUUUGAUCCUUUAUGAGAUUAAUAGAUUAAAUUACCUUAGGGAUAACAGCGUAAUUUUUUUGGAGAGUUCAUAUCUAUAAAAAAGUUUGCGACCUCGAUGUUGGAUUAAGAUUAAUUUUUAAUGUAGAAGUUAAAAUUUUAAGUCUGUUCGACUUUUAAAAUCUUACAUGAUC
rnacentral:rRNA from 1 species